GACGAACGCUUGCGGCGUGCUUAACACAUGCAAGUCGAACGGAAAGGCCCUGCUUUUGUGGGGUGCUCGAGUGGCGAACGGGUGAGUAACACGUGAGUAACCUGCCCUUGACUUUGGGAUAACUUCAGGAAACUGGGGCUAAUACCGGAUAGGAGCUCCUGCUGCAUGGCGGGGGUUGGAAAGUUUCGGCGGUUGGGGAUGGACUCGCGGCUUAUCAGCUUGUUGGUGGGGUAGUGGCUUACCAAGGCUUUGACGGGUAGCCGGCCUGAGAGGGUGACCGGCCACAUUGGGACUGAGAUACGGCCCAGACUCCUACGGGAGGCAGCAGUGGGGAAUAUUGCACAAUGGGCGGAAGCCUGAUGCAGCAACGCCGCGUGCGGGAUGACGGCCUUCGGGUUGUAAACCGCUUUCGCCUGUGACGAAGCGUGAGUGACGGUAAUGGGUAAAGAAGCACCGGCUAACUACGUGCCAGCAGCCGCGGUGAUACGUAGGGUGCGAGCGUUGUCCGGAUUUAUUGGGCGUAAAGGGCUCGUAGGUGGUUGAUCGCGUCGGAAGUGUAAUCUUGGGGCUUAACCCUGAGCGUGCUUUCGAUACGGGUUGACUUGAGGAAGGUAGGGGAGAAUGGAAUUCCUGGUGGAGCGGUGGAAUGCGCAGAUAUCAGGAGGAACACCAGUGGCGAAGGCGGUUCUCUGGGCCUUUCCUGACGCUGAGGAGCGAAAGCGUGGGGAGCGAACAGGCUUAGAUACCCUGGUAGUCCACGCUGUAAACGGUGGGUACUAGGUGUGGGGUCCAUUCCACGGGUUCCGUGCCGUAGCUAACGCUUUAAGUACCCCGCCUGGGGAGUACGGCCGCAAGGCUAAAACUCAAAGGAAUUGACGGGGCCCCGCACAAGCGGCGGAGCAUGCGGAUUAAUUCGAUGCAACGCGUAGAACCUUACCUGGGUUUGACAUGGAUCGGGAGUGCUCAGAGAUGGGUGUGCCUCUUUUGGGGUCGGUUCACAGGUGGUGCAUGGCUGUCGUCAGCUCGUGUCGUGAGAUGUUGGGUUAAGUCCCGCAACGAGCGCAACCCUUGUUCACUGUUGCCAGCACGUUAUGGUGGGGACUCAGUGGAGACCGCCGGGGUCAACUCGGAGGAAGGUGGGGAUGACGUCAAGUCAUCAUGCCCCUUAUGUCCAGGGCUUCACGCAUGCUACAAUGGCUGGUACAGAGAGUGGCGAGCCUGUGAGGGUGAGCGAAUCUCGGAAAGCCGGUCUCAGUUCGGAUUGGGGUCUGCAACUCGACCUCAUGAAGUCGGAGUCGCUAGUAAUCGCAGAUCAGCAACGCUGCGGUGAAUACGUUCCCGGG
rnacentral:rRNA from 1 species